rnacentral:rRNA from 1 species
GACGAACGCUGGCGGCGUGCUUAACACAUGCAAGUCGAACGGAAAGGCCCUGCUUGCAGGGUACUCGAGUGGCGAACGGGUGAGUAACACGUGGGUGAUCUGCCCUGCACUUCGGGAUAAGCGUGGGAAACUGGGUCUAAUACCGGAUAGGAGCCAUUUUUAGUGUGAUGGUUGGAAAGUUUUUUCGGUGUAGGAUGAGCUCGCGGCCUAUCAGCUUGUUGGUGGGGUAAUGGCCUACCAAGGCGGCGACGGGUAGCCGGCCUGAGAGGGUGGACGGCCACAUUGGGACUGAGAUACGGCCCAGACUCCUACGGGAGGCAGCAGUGGGGAAUAUUGCACAAUGGGCGCAAGCCUGAUGCAGCGACGCCGCGUGGGGGAUGACGGCCUUCGGGUUGUAAACUCCUUUCGCUAGGGACGAAGCUUUUUGUGACGGUACCUAGAGAAGAAGCACCGGCUAACUACGUG